UGAACGCUGGUGGCAGGCCUAACACAUGCAAGUCGAGCGGAUGAAGGGAGCUUGCUCCUGGAUUCAGCGGCGGACGGGUGAGUAAUGCCUAGGAAUCUGCCUGGUAGUGGGGGAUAACGUCCGGAAACGGGCGCUAAUACCGCAUACGUCCUGAGGGAGAAAGUGGGGGAUCUUCGGACCUCACGCUAUCAGAUGAGCCUAGGUCGGAUUAGCUAGUUGGUGGGGUAAAGGCCUACCAAGGCGACGAUCCGUAACUGGUCUGAGAGGAUGAUCAGUCACACUGGAACUGAGACACGGUCCAGACUCCUACGGGAGGCAGCAGUGGGGAAUAUUGGACAAUGGGCGAAAGCCUGAUCCAGCCAUGCCGCGUGUGUGAAGAAGGUCUUCGGAUUGUAAAGCACUUUAAGUUGGGAGGAAGGGCAGUAAGUUAAUACCUUGCUGUUUUGACGUUACCAACAGAAUAAGCACCGGCUAACUUCGUG
rnacentral:rRNA from 1 species